rnacentral:misc_RNA from 1 species
UUUGACUUAUAUAAAUAUGAAAUUUUAUUUUUUAUAAUUAUAAAAAAUAUUAAAUUCAAGUGUUUCAACUUUCUAAUAUUUUUCCACACCAAUAAUCAUCCAGCUUCUGAUGCGGGUCCGAUAACCAGGAAAAUUAAAUCAAACAAAACUCAUUACUCCAUAAAACUUCUACAAAGUCGACGGUCAAUAAUCCAUCGAUCAAACACCUUCACCUACUUUCUAUACGCUACUUCAGCACCACUAACAACAACAACUGCAACUUGCGACAGAAGGAGGAAAGGAUGGAUUUUUAGAAGGAAGGAACGACGCCGAAUCCGUAGAUACUACUUCGAUCAACUUCAACUUCAAUAUCGGAUCGUUUCGCGAAUCUUCCUUUGAUUCUCGGUCUCGUCUCUGCAUAAGCUUUUCGCGAUGCGUAUCUGAUUGUCUUCUCGAACUUUCGGUUCUUCCUUUUCUCUCUGUACCUUAACACCCUUGCUUCCCUGUCCACUGCUGUUUGCUGAACCGUUGCAUUUGUAGAUUCCAUCCCGUUACUCACUGUUUUACAGUACGCAUUUGAUAUGUCCGUCAUGUUCCCGCCAUCUGGCACUACUCCAACGUCCACAGAUGAGGAUGAUACCUGAGGUCGCGACCACACGAUCAGAGCUCAAUUUCCUUAAUACCAGAUUAUUACUCGCUAUUUUUAAUUAAAUGAUUAAAGAAAUUAAGCUAAUAGUUUACUCAACAUAAAAUUGAGAUUGUAAAACUUACACUGUUGCUCAGACACUGUGUGUCAUAGCCGUAGGCAAAAGGCUUGGAUCCGGUGAAGUCCAGCUCAAAGCAGUGAUCGUUCACUAAUGGAACUUGAACGGUCUUGCUUUGCACGGGUACUACACCAUCCGUGCCCGAGCUGUUCUGUUCCUGUGCUUCGAGUUUCGGAUCCACAGUGACAGGACCGCAACCCGGAUCCAUAUACGGGUCCAUGUCCGAGAAGACAUACUGACCUGUAUUCAGAUCUGGACUCUCCAUUAGCUUCGGGUUGGGAGGAUUUGGAAGCAGCCACGAAGCUGCCUCUGCUUCCUCCCUGCUUACAUCGACGUCUCCAUCCACGUCGGAGAAGUAACGGUCAUCAAGGAAGUUUACAGCGUUUGGCUUAACAGAACCGACCGACUCGUAGAACGGCGUCACAGGAACUCGCUCGUGUCGGCGAGCCAGUGGAUUGGCGGAGUGAAUAUCUCGGUCGCACGUGACGCAGAGGGCUGCAGCAUCGGCCUUGCAGGUGACAUGAGCCGGAGCUUGCUCGCACACCUCACAAACCCACACGCGCGCGUGGCGCGAGGCAAGCUUGUUGGCAGCGUGAACCUUUGAGUCACAGUUUACGCAAAGAAAAGCGGAGUCAGCACGGCAGAAAAGAGUUGCCGUUGCCGAUUUACAUGAAUCACAGAGCUUGGAAGCCAUUCCACGACUCACAGUUAGCCAAGUUCUCUCUCUCUCUGUGGGGAUGAAACAAUAAACACAGGCACAGUUUUCUUUUGUGUAUUGUUUGGACUUUGGCUAAUUGUUGUGUAGCGUUUACUGUGGCGUAAGGAGUGACUAUGAUUCUAUCUGGUGGGGCCAGGGAGAUCUGGAAAGCAGCAAAUAGAAGAGAGACACGUGGACGUAGCUUAGCCAAAUAAUAGAAGACAUUUUGUCAAAAUAAGAGAAGUGAUGUCAAUUUGGACAUGGAGCCCACGUGAGAAGAGGUUGAGAGUUGAAGGGUCAGGGCUUUUCUGGCUCUUCGAUUUAUAGUUGGGUAUGAAAAGUAAUAGGAAAUUGGCUGCAAGGAUUAAUAAUGUGAGAGGGACCCACUUGGUGGCCAGUUGGUCUUCGAGAUGGAUCUGUAGAGACAGAAGUAGAUAGGGACUACCACCCCUCUUCCUAAUCCUAGAUGGACAAGGGUCCAAUUCAAAUUUGCAACGAAAUGCCUUCUUUUCGGUCACUACUUGCAAAUUGUAGCUCAAUUACUGUUGUAAAUAGAUUCCGCCAUUGAUG